UACGAAGGGGGCUAGCGUUGCUCGGAAUCACUGGGCGUAAAGGGUGCGUAGGCGGGUCUUUAAGUCAGGGGUGAAAUCCCUGGAGCUCAACUCCAGAACUGCCUUUGAUACUGAGGAUCUUGAGUUCGGGAGAGGUGAGUGGAACUGCGAGUGUAGAGGUGAAAUUCGUAGAUAUUCGCAAGAACACCAGUGGCGAAGGCGGCUCACUGGCCCGAUACUGACGCUGAGGCACGAAAGCGUGGGGAGCAAACAGGG
rnacentral:rRNA from 1 species